ACAUUUACAAAGGUUCUGCAACUGUUAUAAAGCCUGUAUAACUGUAAAAUUUGAACAUUUUGUAAAAAUAUUUCAAGCGUGAGACGUUUACAGGUAUUUCUAUUUAAAGAUUUAUUUUAUUUUUAUUUUAUCUAUUUUAUUGGCCAAUUCUGGCAUGUGUUGUUUUAAAUAUUGUCUCCAACUCUUCCAGACAUCAUUAGUCCAUCUCCAAUCUAUCCAUGCAGUUAUUUCCUCUAUAACAUAAAUACUUGAUUUUACAUCAAUCCAUCCUUCUGUUGGGAUCUGGAGUUGUUCCACCUUUCCCCAGCAGAGUGCGCCGUGGGUUCUCUGGGCUGGAGCUCACCAGCACACCUGGAGCUCGUCAGCCCAUUAGAGGACCCCUCUACUUAAGCAGAUGCCAGACCUUUCUUCGACGCCGCAGUGUUAGCUAAAAAACCUGUCUCUCGUGUGAAGCUCUGGGAGAGCUUAACCUGAAUCUGCCUGCCUGCCCUAGAGAGCCAAACCUGAAGAUCUCACUUUGGAAUCCACCUGCUGCUCUCGGAAGGAGAGCUAACCCCUCAAUCCAAGGUCUGAUCCAACAGUCAGAAGUUAGACGCUGCACCUGCUGAGCACUUUGUCAAACCAACAGUCUCUGGACCCAACCGGUUCCCCCCCUCUGAGAAGAAAGCCUGAAACUCUCCAAGACGCCUGAGAAUCCAGCCCGGACCUGUUUCCUGAACGCAGUCUAAUUUUGUGCAAACAUUUAAU